rnacentral:lncRNA from 8 species
AUGUCAAGUACUACCAUGCAGACAGCGAACACCCCUCUGAGUGCAGCGUGCAGACCCGGGCAUCAGAGAAGCAGGUUGGCUCUCAAGAGACGCCUAGGAGGAGACGCAGCAUGUCAGGCUCUAUACACUCGCUCCUGGGUGACAGACAGACUGCCAUCGGAGUUAACCGUCAUCGUCGGAGAUCACUGAGUGAGAGAAGGAAGUAGAACCAGCAAACCAACAGCGGACCCCAUGAUGAAAGAGAAUGGGGCGUCAGUGAAACAGGUGAGGGACAUUUUACACACAUUUCACCAUCGUUCUGGACUGAGAAUAUCAACUUGAGUCUUGAACUCUUUUAUACACUGAGUGUACAAAACAUUAAGAACACCGGGGCUUUCAAUGACAGAUUGACCAGGUGAAUCCAGGUGAAAGCUAUGAUCCCUUAUUGAUAUCACUUGUUAAAUCCACUUCAAUCAGUGUAGAUGAAGGGGAGGAGACAGGUUAAAGAAGGAUUUUUAAGCCUUGAGACAGUUGAGACAUGGAUUGUGUAUGUGUGCUUUUCAGAGGGUGAAUGGGCACGCCAAAAGAUUGAAGUGCCUUUUGAACAGGGCAUGGUUGUAGGUGCUACCGUUUUCUGUCAAGAUCUAGUGUUGUCACGAUAACCAAAAUGUUACAAAUGAUACGGUACCAGGCCAAGUAGCACGAUACCAAGUAGGAUCGCAAUACCACGGUAGGAAAAAAAUCAGUGACCUAGCAUCCUGUUUGCCCCGUCCCCCGGACACAUGUUCACGUUGUCUAAACCUUCUCCAAAAAAACAUGUCACUGAAGUUCACACUUCUACUCAAUACAACACAUUGAAAUUAACAUCACACUGUUCAGUGUAUAAUAUAAAUCUGCAUAGAAUGGCUGAUUUUGCUCAUAUUUGUAAAGGCCCAGCUGUGAUUUGAUUGGAGGAAUGGCAGGAAGGAGUAUACAUGCAUAAUUAUCUGUAUGUCAUUGUGUAAGUCAGGGGAAACACUGAACCCUUUACUCUUCAGUUAUCUCUCUCUCUCUGUCCCUCUCUCUCUCUCUCUCUCACACUCUCUCUCACACUCUCUCUCACACUCACUCACUCAAACAAACUUUUAAAACGUUAGGCACCAAACAGAAUGUAAGAAAGAAAUUGAUGUUUGAUAUAGUUUAGUUACAUCCUACCUAUAUGAAUCCUACCCUUUUGAAACACAUCUCAUGAGUAGCAGAUCCUUUUCCUUUUUAUGCUGGGCCAAUCAGAUGUGCCUAGACCUACUGUCAACUUACCAGGUUGUUAGCUAGCUUGGUAACAUGGCUGAACAACAUUUUGUUAUCAAACCAAUAAUUAGCCACUAGUUUAAAACGGCCCGUGACAUGGUUAGUGAAAUUAUAUAAAAUGCAUGUGAAUCCCAAAAAUAAAAAAAGACCUCUGGUAACAUGGGUCAUAUUUUAUAACUGUUUAGGCUAGAGACAAGACCUCUGGUGACAUGGGUCAUAUUUUAUAACUGUUUAGGCUAGAGACAAGACCUCUGGUAACAUGGGUCAUAUUUUAUAACUGUUUAGGCUAGAGACAAGACCUCUGGUAACAUGGGUCAUAUUUUAUAACUGUUUAGGCUAGAGACAAGACCUCUGGUAACAUGGGUCAUAUUUUAUAACUGUUUAGGCAAGACUUCUGGUAACAUGGGUCAUAUUUUAUAACUGUUUAGGCUAGAGACAAGGCCUCUGGUAACAUGGGUCAUAUUUUAUAACUGUUUAGGCUAGAGACAAUACCUUUUCUUUGCUGUAAAGCUGCAAGCAUGCAUGUCGCGAAGCGUUGCUCCGCGUUCCCUCGCUGACACUCCGAGGCUGCAUGACAGUGAACUAGUAAAGUCUACUCAGACUGGUCUGUGCUCUUGGUUAUAACAGGCGAUGAAAUUAUACAACGUCUCAAAAUUGCUCGCUUUGCGCACUGCUCCAUUGUAACAAAUGUACAAAUCUAACAACAGAAGACCCAUCAGGGUCUGAGUCUGCAUCCCCGCUGACGGAGAAGCAGGUGAGUGAGGGCUGGUAGGGGAUUCUGAGAGAAGCAGGUGAGUGAGGGCUUGUAGGGGAUGAUGAGAGAAGCAGGUGAGUGAGGUCUGGUAGGGAAUGCUGAGAGAAGCAGGUGAGUGAGGGCUGGUAGGGAAUGCUGAGAGAAGCAGGUGAGCGAGGGCUGGUAGGGAAUGCUGAGAGAAGCAGGUGAGUGAGGGCUGGUAGGGAAUGCUGAGAGAAGCAGGUGGGUGAGGGCUGGUAGGGAAUGCUGAGAGAAGCAGGUAGGUGAGGGCUGGUAGGGAAUGCUGAGAGAAGCAGGUGGGCGAGGGCUGGUAGGGAAUGCUGAGAGAAGCAGGUGAGCGAGGGCUGGUAGGGAAUGCUGAGAGAAGCAGGUGAGCGAGGGCUGGUAGGGAAUGCUGAGAGAAGCCGGUGAGCGAGGGCUGGUAGGGAAUGCUGAGAGAAGCCGGUGAGCGAGGGCUGGUAGGGAAUGCUGAGAGAAGCAGGUGAGUGAGGGCUGGUAGGGAAUGCUGAGAGAAGCAGGUGGGUGAGGGCUGGUAGGGAAUGCUGAGAGAAGCAGGUGAGUGAGGUCUGGCAGAGAAUGCUGAGAGAAGCAGGUGGGUGAGGGCUGGUAGGGAAUGCUGAGAGAAGCAGGUGAGUGAGGGCUGGUAGGGAAUGCUGAGAGAAGCAGGUGGGUGAGGGCUGGUAGGGAAUGCUGAGAGAAGCAGGUGGGUGAGGGCUGGUAGGGAAUGCUGAGAGAAGCAGGUGAGAGGGCUGGUAGGGAAUGCUGAGAGAAGCAGGUGGGUGAGGGCUGGUAGGGAAUGCUGAGAGAAGCAGGUGAGUGAGGGCUGGUAAGGAAUGCUGAGAGAAGCAGGUGAGUGAGGGCUGGUAAGGAAUGCUGAGAGAAGCAGGUGAGUGAGGGCUGGUAGGGAAUGCUGAGAGAAGCAGGUGAGUGAGGGCUGGUAGGGAAUGCUGAGAGAAGCAGGUGAGUGAGGGCUGGUAGGGAAUGCUGAGAGAAGCAGGUGAGUGAGGGCUGGUAAGGGAUGCGGCUGGCUGAUUACAGCUGCCACACGUGAUAUGCACAUGAAAGUGAAGUGGAUAUCAUUGGACCAGUGCAUACCAGAGACUACUGGCUGAUGCUUAAAUUCAACUUAAGUUAAAAACAAAACAGACUUUAUAUAAGUUGCUCUGGAUAAGAGCAUCUGCUAAAUGACUAACAUUUAUGGAACAGUGUGUGUGGUAUAGGUCUCACCAUCCAGAUCCUUCUCGAUGAGGUCCAUCCUGUGUGUGACUUGGUUUUACAUGGCCUCAAUGUGAUCCAAC